UGGGGAAUAUUGCACAAUGGGCGAAAGCCUGAUGCAGCGACGCCGCGUAAGGGAUGACGGCCUUCGGGUUGUAAACCUCUUUCGACAGGGACGAAGCGUAAGUGACGGUACCUGUAGAAGAAGCACCGGCCAACUACGUGCCAGCAGCCGCGGUAAUACGUAGGGUGCGAGCGUUGUCCGGAAUUACUGGGCGUAAAGAGCUUGUAGGCGGUUUGUCGCGUCGUCUGUGAAAACUCACAGCUCAACUGUGAGCUUGCAGGCGAUACGGGCAGACUUGAGUACUGCAGGGGAGACUGGAAUUCCUGGUGUAGCGGUGAAAUGCGCAGAUAUCAGGAGGAACACCGGUGGCGAAGGCGGGUCUCUGGGCAGUAACUGACGCUGAGAAGCGAAAGCGUGGGUAGCGAACAGGAUUAGAUACCCUGGUAGUCCACGCCGUAAACGGUGGGUACUAGGUGUGGGUUUCCUUCCACGGGAUCCGUGCCGUAGCUAACGCAUUAAGUACCCCGCCUGGGGAGUACGGCCGCAAGGCU
rnacentral:rRNA from 1 species